ACUGCUGAUAAGUGGCACUCUUUUAUAUAUGGGCACUUCAGUUUUUAUCUGACCAUGACAGGGCUGCGUGAAAUUAGUAAGAAACUUGUUUGAAAUAGUAAUCAUUUUUCUAAUGUUGAAAAGGUGACAGUGUGCCUACUCUAAUUGUAGCAGUUUCUUUUCUUUUGGAUAAAUUUGAGUGGUGUUCUGACAAAGGAUUCGGUGUAAACAAAACAGUUGAUCUGUGCAGAAUGAACAUUGUCCUUUUUGGCACAGAAGAAGCUGGGCUUUUAUGGAUGUUUGCUAAUACCUUGUUUGCUUAUUGAUUUCCUCUUUUUCAUUCUUGUUCCUCAAAAGAAUGAGCCCCAAAAAUGCGCAGUUGAGAUUCAAGAGCAUGUAUGUUUUUUUUUUUUAAUUCCAGUACAUUAAGACUUGCUUUCAGUUAAACUUCUGUGGAUGAGACUAGAGGAAAAAAGGGGAAGUGAGCCACUUAAGCAGUGCUUCAAAUGAAGUCUUCAAAUACUCAUCUGACAACACAUGGACACUGAUUUCACUAACAAAGCAAUAAGUUUUCUUUCCAUCCUUGGGUAACUGAGAUGGGACAGGGAAACUGUUCAUCUCAGCUUGAAGGUUUGGAAACAAGCAGGAUGUUUAAACAAACAUUUCUGGGAAUGGUGAGGUAUGAAGGUCCAGCUCGGCUACGUGAGGAGAAAGCCAACUACUGUUUUGUUAGGUGGCUCAGACGUCUGGAGGCUUUCGUACAAGACUGGGAACUCAGCGCAUGGGGAAUGAAUGAAGUUCACAAAAGAAGAGGUCCCCACAGCUGGAGCUGCUUGAGGCACCCUGGCUCACUCCAGCAUGCUCUCCUUCAAAUGCUAAGGAAAAAAAAAACCUACACCUUCCCCAAGGAAUUCGCAGACCUUCCCUGAAGUUUGAAAUGGCUCUCAUUUGCUGUGGCAGUGAGAAGAAGAAGGGGAAGCAAACAGCUGUCUACGAGAGGCAGGUACCUGAAAAACAGUGUUAAAAGUCUGCAAUUGAUGCUCCAAUGUUUGGGAAAUGGUGAAUCACUCCAGCUGAAAUUAGUGAAGACUUGGGACGUGGAGGGCAGAAGACUGAAGAAUGAUUAAAUCCAGGAAUCUGCUAAUGCAAAUAACCUACUUCGGUAAUAAAUUUUACAAACUGUCAUAAGUGUUAUUUGAAACUCAAGCUGUAAUGCAUUAAAGCAAAUGUUCCCAGGGUUUUCAGCAUAAUAAUCUGGGUCCUUUCCAUUUUUUAUUUAUAGAAGUUGAGACGUCUCAGUUAUAUUAACAUUAUGCUUUCCUGGGUCAUAACCACAAAUGAUAACUUCCGAAUAUUCCCAAAUGCUGAAUUAACAAAAGCCUUAAUUUGAAGUUAUUCCCAUUGGUAAAGUUAAGUGCUACAUGAUGUAUUUCCAAGUUUUCAUCUGAAGACUUGCUUUUUCUUUUUGUAAUACUUAAGAUCAGCAAUUCAACAUUUUUUUUUUUAACAAAGACUCAAACUUUAACAUACCUGUCCAGAAUCAUGCCUUAUCCAAAACAUCAGACUCGUAUGCUACAUAAUAAAGAAUAUAAAUUAAAAUUUAUAAAAUUAAAAAUUAUAAAAUUAAAAUUUAUAUUCUUUAUUAAACAACACUAUCUGCAUCUCUAUAUGAAUGAGGGUGCUUUCCUGUUCAUUCUGACUCUUGUGGUCAUUUCUGAGACUUCCCAUUAUGUAAAGGCCCUUAUAAAUUACUGCCAUGCUGUAACUACUACCAUGCUGUCUGUGCCUUUAAUCUUUCAGAACGUUCUUCAAGAUUAUGGAAUGCAAGAGAUAAACUCGCUACCUUUGAAAAAAAUUAUGUAAUUUUUCCUGUGGUAGUUUUCCACCAGCUUUUUGGAAACUACCUCCUCUCACAUUUAUUUUGGUUAUCUUACAUGCAGCUGAAAAUGCUUUUAGUCAGCAAACAAAAUUCAGAUUACCCAACUUUUCCAAAAGAACUUAAUACGUGCCUUUUGAUUAAAGGCAGAAGAAACUGAAUGUAGAAGAAAAAGGAAGAUCGUGAAGGAUAAAACACAGUUGUUGCUUAUGAAGCUCUUGGCAUCCUACUCCUAGCAGACUUGCAGUGAUUUUAUAUAUGAAUGUCUCUUGAUCGUGUUGUCAUUUAUUGGUAUUCACGUUGCAGACAGAAAUGCAAAUGGGUGAUUUUGAACCCACAGUGAUCAUGACAGGUCAGGUAUUCACAACAAACACUGCCUCUAGAAAAUGAUAUAGGCAAAUCUCCAGGGUAAGUAUGUACAGAUUAGGUAGAGUUCGGGUAAAUUUGUUUGUUUGUUGGUAAAGCGGAGUUGCAGCUGACUUCUAUCACUGUGUGCAAAUUUGUUCCUGCUGGUUUGGUGUACUACUUCUUUAUCAGUGUUGAAGAGUGUAGAAACAGCCAUGAUUUCUGCACACAGAUCCACUUGGCUCUGUAUGCACAUCCUGAGGGUGGCCAAACCACUUUGGACAAAUACAGUGUCAUCCUUCUACUGCCUGACGCUUCUUCCUGGCGAUGCACACAUUAUGGACUUCCUGAGUCCAAGAUAGCAUUACAUUUUUCUCUUUAAUGAUAUAGUGGCCUCUUUUUCUUUUUUUCUUUUCUUUUAAGUAAGCAAAGGAAAAAAAAUAAAAGAACCCCAAAUACCUCAUUCUAAUUAUUCUGUUUCUAUGUCUUUUACAUGACUAAUGCUUGGGAUAUUCUUGAGCUUUGGUAUCAUGAAAAAUGGAGAACAAUAGAUUUCCUAUUCAGGUUUUCUGUAUUGCCCAGAAUUUUGUAGAGCACUGACCUGAUAUCCCUUUUUGCCAUGCUAGGUAAUUCUCUAUAGACUUGUGUUGUUGUUGUUGUUGUUUUCUCUUCACUUUUGUUUUUCUGCUAUAUCCAUUUUUAGAUAUGGUGAUCAGAACUGUGCAUGCCUUGUUUAAGAUGCAUAUCUAUUUACUGGGAAGAAAAUGCUUUCUGUUUUAUUCUCUGUUCUUAAUCUUUGCUAAUCAUCUGCUUAUUGUUUUGACCACUAAUGAGUUAUUUUCAAAAACCUAUCCAUUAUAGUUCUGGGUUUUGUUUUUUUGUUUGUUUGUUUCUUAUUCAUAUACAGCUAGUUUAGAACUCAUUAGCGCGUACGGUUAAUUAAGGUUGUUUUUUCCCUCUGUGGAUCACUGUGCUUUAGCAACAUUGAAUUUAAUCUGCCCAUUUUACCAUCCAGCUGCUCAGUCUCCUCCUGCAACUGUUGUCAGUCCAUUUUAUUCUUUUACUGUGCUGAAUUAUUGCCAUCAGAGAUCUUUGUCAUAUAGUUCACCCUUUUCACAUAAUUUAUGAGUGUGUUGAACACAAAGAUAAUUAAUAGAUGCAAGCGGUAGCUUCCUCUACAGGUUGAAGACUGAUUGUUUUUAUGCCUUUUAUUUUGUAUCUCAACGUACUCUUAAUCCAUAACAGGACCCAUUUCUUAGAAAGAGCUUAGUUCUGUUAGUGUUAUGCAAGCCCAUUUUGGAAACCCCAACACGGUUCACUCCUGGCCACAUGCUUGGCGAUCCCUUCAAGGAACACCAAUAGGUUUGUGACUUCCUUCUUUUGGUUAUACUGAUCCUUCUUAUCCGAACACUGAUGUGUCCUUUCUUGCUUCCCCUACUAUAAUCUUAAUCAACCUGAUCCCUACAGGCAGCAGAAUUACUAAACACCUGUUCCAUAGAUCUUCCCAUAGCUCUUUUCAGAAGAUGGUAUCACUUUCCUUUACUCUGAUUGCUCAUGUUGUAGGAAACACCACACCUAUCUAUUUCAAGAAGUGGUAUUGGAAAUCCUUAAGACCUGAAUGAAUACCAUCUGGGCUUCAUGAGUUAUUACUAUUUGUUUUAUCUAUUUGCCCUAUAUUUCUUAUACUGACAUUUCUAUUUCUCUUUUUUUUUUCCAGCUGGCUGUAUGGCUGGGUGCCAAAACAGGCAAUUCCAUAUUCUUCUGCACUGUAAAAACAGAUGUAAAGCAUUGAUUUAGCAUUUCUGUACUGGCAUUAACUUUCUUGUUUAUUUCUCUUGCAUCUAUUUUGUUCUUAGUUUCUACAGGCUGAGAGAGUUUAAAAAAGUUGUCUGAAGCAGGGUUUUAAUAUGGCUUUAUCUUUAACCAUCUAGAAUUAAUGCUCUUUUCUAUUUUCUUUAUUUGGACAUGGCUUCUGCUUCUGGAUGGAUGCUUUUUUGCUAUUAAUAGCUUUCUUUAUUCUGCUGCUUGACCACACAGCAUUUUCAGCAAUCACGUGAGGGUCAUUUUUUAGGACAUAGUGAGCUCUAAGCCACUAGUCUAUCUUAACCAUGCUGUCAAAUCACCUGCAAGUACUUUGAUCCUAUAGGUGCUGAUUUUAGUGUUGUAUAUGUCUGUUUCCAAUACAUUAUUUUCUUUAUCGUGCCUACGUGGUUUCAGCAUAAACAGAAAAAAAAUCACAUAGCUGUUAUAACAAGCAGAUGAGCAAGUGUCAGCAAAUCAGUCUGGAUGAGGUGAAAAUCACUGAAUUUUGGGUGGCUGCUUUGCUCCCCUGGGGAAAGAGGUGGCUACUCUUGCACCUGGAGGACUGGGCAUUCUUUGAGGCCUCCCAUCGCUGACAGACCUCCAUGCUGCCCUGGUCACGUGAAGCAGGUGUUUCCACAUCCUUGCUGAGAGAUCAGCGUACUGUCAGGAGUUGUUUGGGGGGGGAGGGGGGGGAGGAAAUCCAAUGGUUAGAAAUGAGAAUGGAAAGUUGAAUAACCCACAGAACCAUGGCUUGCUGUUCAUGCUUGCUAAGCUAAGGAGUCAAGAUUCAGAGCCAGUAAGAGUUUCGGAAAUGUUCUGUACUUUCUCCUUCUGAGUAAAAACUUUACUAUAUUGAUAGAAAAAGACCAAAGAUUUUGCAGCUUCUGGACUGGAGAGGAAUUAGGGGGUAUCUCUGCGUAGCUGUAUUAGUUGUCCAUGAACAGUGAAUGUCACCACUGUGACAAGGACAUUCAAUUUAAUUAUCUGAAAAUUAACACAAAUAGUUGAGGGACCCCUGAGAAAACAAACUGCAACUAAAAGCUAAUUGACAAAGAAUAGCAUAAAUUGACCUGUUUUCACUGAGCCUUACUUGUGAAGAUCAAAAGUGGGAAUGGCUCCUUCAUGAGGAGUUGGCAGUCGGGACAAUAUGGGAGACGUGACAGAGGCUAUAAAGGGUUGUGACCAGUGUGGGAUGACAGAAAGGGACCAACCAUUCAACAUGUCUUCUGUGGGCUAUUAAAUGAAGCGAGCAGGAGCAAGGUUCAAAGCAACCAAGAGGUUGGUCUUCACUUAACAGAUGGUUUGGGUUUCAUGUGUAAAGCAUAUUUAUAGGUGCUAAAAAACUACAUAAGUUGAAAGAGAUGUUGGACAAGUGCUUGGAGAAAAGACUUCAACAGAUCUAUGAGGUGCUGCUGCAGAAAAGCUAGAGAUAAGAGGAAAGUGUGUGUGUGUGAGCUCAGCGUGUGUCCACAAAAUAGCAAAAUUCGGAAAUUGUGCUGAAUUGUGUGAUAAAAUAAAGAAUGGAAAACAUUUCACAUGGAAAAGGUACAAACCAGGAUGCAGUUCUCUGCUGUUGAGGAGAUCUUCCUAAACUUUAAAACCUGUUUUUUUGUUGUUGUUGUUUGUUUGGUUUUUUAGGAAAUAUUUUAUAAAAUGAAGUUUGAAUUUAAUAAAAUAAAUUAAUCCAUUUGAAUUAAAAAGAAAAGUAGAAUGCUGAUGACCGUUCUAUUCAGAUAUUACUAUAAUAUAUAUAGCUCUUUCCAUUCAUACAUCUUGAUGUUUCUGAUAGCAACAGGCACAUUGUUUGAAAUCCAUGUGUCAUCAUUACAGACUACACUGAAUCAUUACAAGGCUUCAUCUGUGGCUUCGUCUACAGAGAUGAAUGCAAAGAAAAAAAGUUGUCUCUUACAGUUCUGCUGAAUAAACAUGGCCAGUAGAUACCACAGUCCAGUGCUUUCUGACCAGAUUCUUUUAAUAUUCCGUGUAAAGAAGAUUUGAUGUCAAAUCUACUCAUUAUUAAAUUUUAUUUAUUAUCAAAUUUACUUAGUAUUGGAUUACUUAUUUGGUUUAUUUGAUGUUACAUGUGAUUUUCAUUUAAAUGAGCAAUACGGGAAUGUAUUGAAAUGGUAACACAAGAGUGGUGCAAUAACUGCAAUAUACAGUUAAACCUCAAUACAGACGUGAUUCACACUGCCGGUCACUGUGUGUGCUCACCUUCACUACACUGUCCUCAGUCACUGAGGAGGCACGUGUGGGAUGAAACCAGCUCACAGAAUGGUAGAAUUAUUAAAGUUGCAAAAGACCUCUAAAAUCAUUUAGUCCAACCGUCAGCCCACGCCCACCAUGCCCACUAACCAUGUCCCUCAUUGCCUCAUCUUGAACAUCUACAGGGAUAGUGGUGGCCCUACCACCUCCCUGGCCAGCCUGUUCCAAUACCUCACCACUCUUUCAUUUGCAGAAUGAUUUUUCCUAAUACCCAACCUGAAUCUUCCCUGGUGCAACUUGAGGCCACUCUGUCUCAUCCUAUUGCUGUUACCAGGGAGAAGAGGCCAACUCCCACCUUGCCACAGCCUCCUUUCAGGCAGUCAAAUGAUUGCUCUCUUUAAAAUGUGUUUUAUUAGUUGUCCAGUUUUCAUGCAUCAUGUUGGGCUGAGCUACAUAUGCACUUUCCCUGCGUAGGUGGCUGUCUGGCUCAGGAAGAUGUUGCUCUUUGUUAACUGUCUCUAAGAACCUAAUGACUCACUAGUGCAGCUGUCUUAUCUUAAGCCAAGGUUACCUUCCUGUCUCCCUGGUAUUGAGAUAAGUGCAACUUUCUUUAUGGUGCAUUCUUCCCCAGGCUUACCGUUUUUCAUUCCAUUUUUGUUCCAUUUUUGUUCUCCUCUAAGCUCUCCCACACUGUGGGGGUGCUGGUAGGUCUCAGUGUGCCACUUGAGUGAUGAAAGAUGAGGCUUACUUACCCAUGUUGUUGUUCUUAGUAAAUUUUUACCAUUAGAAAAGCAUAACAGCUUUUAGUUAAAUUUCACUGUUUUAACAACAAUGUGAUACCUAUAAUACAGCUGUUGCAUCGUGCCAAUUCUUCUGAGUGUGUCAGAGCCCAUAGUCUUAUUGGGCACUAGGUGUCUCUUAUUUACUCUUUUCCAAAAGGCUGCCAGUUCAUUUGUAUUCUGAAUACAGUGCUCAACACAUUGCAUUAGCUUGAGUCUUUAUUAUUAGAGGUACAUCAUAUACCACAGACAAAAAAAAUAGCACCAAUUAAAAGGCCUAUUUGUUGAAUAUUGCUCUUUCCUAUACAAGCAACGGCACAACUUCCCUAGCAGGAACAAAGAACUAGAACCUCUUAAUUUUCUUAAGAAAAAAAAAGGGGGGGGAGAUAAGGGACAAAGCAGCUUUUGUUAUUUAUUAUGCCUUUGGGGAGAGAAGUCUAAAGUUUUCCUCCUUAACUGGCAGCAUAGUGUUGAGAAUUCGAACCUGGACAGACUCUUUCAGGUAAUUGACGAUGCAGCUAUUCUUUCUGGUAUGCUCAUAGCAGAAGAUUAAUAGAUGGAGUUGUACUUAAAAGUAUAUACUUUGCUUGGUAAGUAUGACUUCAUUUAAUUUUUUUAUUUUAGGACACACAGUAAUACAAAACACACAGUUGCAAUAAAUCCUCAAGCAUUUGAGAUAUACAUUUGCUAUGACUUUUAGCAUGCAUUUGACAUUUUCCUUCUGCCCAGCAGCAGUUUGUUAUAGCCUUUACACCAAGAAACACUGUCAGUGGGAGGUUAUCAGAUGCUAGAAGUGCUACCGCUGAUAGAUGCCAUCUGCAGAUAUUCCUUACAUUUCUUCCCUUUAUCUGCAUAUUCCGUCUCUGUUCACCCGGGGGGAAGAUAGAAGAUGGAUUAAAAUUGAUUGAGCUAAUGAGUUUUGGAAAAAGUGCUGAAAUAUACAUUUUCCAUAAAACAACGAAUGAAAUGCAUGCUGGCUGCAGUCUACCAAGGGUCUCCAAAAAUAGAAAUGCUCAGAUGCAAAUUUCUCCUUGAUUAUCACGUUAUUCUUGCAUCUUUUGUAGCACCUUCCUUUGUGAAACCUAGUAACUUGCAAAUAGUAAGGACUGAAGCAGCCAAGUUUUAAUUGUCCCUUGAGUGACUGUUCAUCUCUUUUAUAGAGGGAGCAUCUGAGACACCCAAAGCCCAUAAUCCUUGCUCCCGUGCCUUUGGCAAGGGUAGGGUUACAAUCUUGGUCCCUUGUCAACUAGAGCUACCAUCCCUGAUCCCAGUUAAGGUUUCUUAUUUCUGUCAGCUCUGAUUGACUCCCUGGGCACAUGUACUAAAAACUUCUUUGAACUGCAGUGCCCAGUGGCCACACAUCUCAACACAAGAACACAGCUUCCACUCUUGAGGGUUUUCAAGACCCAAACGCGUAAAGCGCUGAGCAGGUUGCUCUGAUCCCAGAGCUGGCUUUGCCUCUGGUAAAAGCAUAGAUGAGGUAUCUCUUCCACCCACAUGAUCUACUGUGCUCUGAGAGCUUUGCAGAGCUCCAGGGGUAGUAGUGAAGGCUGUUCCUGCGUCUGACUGUGCUGAGGACAGAGCUGCCCAAGUGCCAUGGGCAUGCAGUGUCAACCCAUGCCCGCCCAUCUGCACCAUUGCUCUUUCUCUGGCUCCCAGGCUUUGGGCCAAUGUCACAAAAAAAAAAAAAAAGAAAAAAAAAAAAAAAGGAGGGAGAGAGAGAGAGAUAAGGUGACUUCUAAGGCAUCUUGUGUCAAGUGCAGUUGUCCUAGACCUGACAGACAUAGAUUGGCAUAGUCCAGCACAGGACAACCUGGGCUGAGAUUUCAGCAGUUGGCUGUAUUUGCCCUCUGUCCCUGUUGAUCUAUAAAAGGCUGAUAAAUUGUACUUGCCUACUUUAGGAGUGAAGAGUUUAUUAUUAGAUUGCUAUAUUAUAUGUCCUUAUUGAGAUUUUAAAAAGAGGGGCAGAGAUAAGCUCAACAUAAAUGCAGGGCAUGAGCGUUUAUUCCAUCCCAUCAGUACUUGUGUUUUUGCCUGUCUACAUCACAGCCAGCUGUUACUGAGAAAGUGAGAGCUACCAGAUAACGUACUCCCAACCAUGGGCUUUCCAAGUAGCCUGCUGGUGCCGUCUCACAUCUGCUGGGACAGGGUCCUUGAAGAAAGCCCAGCUCUGAAGCCACUUCACCACAAAUGCAUGGACCAUGAGCAUUCAACUACACCAGAAGGAGACCAGGCUGAUGGCAUGGCAAGAGGGCUGGGUGCUGAGUUGCACAAAGAGAUCCUGACCGUUGUCUAAAGAUGAGUUUGGAUGUGAAAGCAUAUCACAUGUCUCUGAGGGAUGCUGUAUGCUCUCCUCCUGGGCUGCAGGCCACUCUGCAGCAGGAGUGCACUUCCAUCCAAAAGCAGAAGCAGGAUGAAGGCCUAGGAAGCCCACCCUGUGGUAUGUGGAAACAGUGGCAUAGGAGACCAGCACUGAUCAGAUAUCAUCCUUUUUUCUUCAAAUUACAGAUUCUGCAAACCUUUACCUGGUGCCCAUCAUGAAAGAUAACUGACCAAUAAUCUAAGACCAUGCCUUGGGAUUCUGAUCUUGUUUGCUGUUUGUUGUACUCCGAGUGCUGUCUUUGGGGGCUUGUAUUUCUUAUUCAAUGAGUGUGUGGCUGCAUUACAAGUCUCUUCACGUUUUUCCAGUUAAACUAAAUGACUAUCAUUUCCUCCUCCUCCCUCCCCCACCUGACUGUUGUUGUUUAAUUAACCAUAACAUGCUGCUCUUCAGUGGGUGUUUAUAGCUAGAUAAAUGUCAGUAAUAUGCUGUAGUGUAAAGUCUUUUAACUGGGACAGUCAGGGU
ensembl:lncRNA